GACGAACGCUGGCGGCGUGCCUAAUACAUGCAAGUCGAACGCAGUGGGGACGGGUGAGUAACACGUGGGUAACCUCCCAUCAGAGGGGAUAACACUUGGAAACAGGUGCUAAACCGAUACUGAUGGAUGGACCCGCGGUGCAUUAGCUAGUUGGUGAGGUAACGGCGCACCAAGGCCGCGAUGCAUAGCCGACCGGAGAGAGGAUUCGGCAACGAUGAGACUGAGGCACGGCCCAGACUCCUACGAGAGGCAGCAGGAGAGACUCUUCUGCCAUGGACGAAAGUCUGACCGAGCAGCGCCGCGUGAGUGAAGAAGGUUUUCGGAUCGUAAAACUCUGGUGUUAGAGAAGCGGUAUCUAACCAGAAGGCCACGGCUAACUACGUGCCAGCGGCCGCGGUAAUUC
rnacentral:rRNA from 1 species